GUGCUCACUUCAGCAGCACCUACACUAAAACUUGGAACAAUACCGUGAAGAUUAACAUGGCCCCUGCCCAAGAAUAAUACACAAAUUCAGGAAGCAUUCUAUAUUUUU
ensembl:snRNA U6 U6 spliceosomal RNA